rnacentral:rRNA from 1 species
UACGUAGGGUGCGAGCGUUAAUCGGAAUUACUGGGCGUAAAGCGUGCGCAGGCGGUUUUGUAAGCCAGAUGUGAAAUCCCCGGGCUUAACCUGGGAAUGGCAUUUGGGACUGCAAGGCUUGAGUGCGGCAGAGGAGACUGGAAUUCCUGGUGUAGCAGUGAAAUGCGUAGAUAUCAGGAGGAAUACCGAUGGCGAAGGCAGGUCUCUGGGCUGAUACUGACGCUGAGGAGCGAAAGCGUGGGGAGCGAACAGG